GGAGAGGUGCAGGAGUGGUUUAACUGGCAGACCUGGAAAGUCUGUGUCCGGGCAACUGGACCGCGGGUUCGAAUCCCGCCCUCUCCG
rnacentral:tRNA from 1 species